rnacentral:rRNA from 2 species
GGGUUGUGAGGUUAAGCGACUAAGCGUACACGGUGGAUGCCCUGGCAGUCAGAGGCGAUGAAGGACGUGCUAAUCUGCGAUAAGCGUCGGUAAGGUGAUAUGAACCGUUAUAACCGGCGAUUUCCGAAUGGGGAAACCCAGUGUGAUUCGUCACACUAUCAUUAACUGAAUCCAUAGGUUAAUGAGGCGAACCGGGGGAACUGAAACAUCUAAGUACCCCGAGGAAAAGAAAUCAACCGAGAU